UGCGGCGGAUGCCCCGAUUGGUUGCCUAAUGAUGUGAGCUAGCAUCUGAGAGGUGGUGAGCUCCGAGAGUUUGAGAAGCUCCCUGGAUAGUGCCUGGAACCGAAGCUGCAUGGGACGCAAGUGAAAUACCAUCAAGGCGGGGCUGGGGAUUUAGCUCAGCGGCACAGCGCCUGCCUGGCAAGCUUGAGGCCGUGAGUUCGAUUCCCGGUACCGAGGGGGAAAAAAAAAAAAAAAAAAAAAAAAUGUGGGGGGAAAAAAAAAAAUACCACCAAGUUGUAUCCCCAGGCCUUUGAAGUAAACAUACAAUGAAACUCUUGAA